UUUGCCUAUUAUGCAAUAAUGCUGCUAUGAUACUCUUGUACAGAUGGACAUAUCUUGCCUUGGUUUUUGCCUUUGAAAAUAUAGUCAACAUUGGCCGGGUGCAGUGGCUCACGCCUGUAAUCCCAGCACUUUGGGAGGCUGAGGUGGGUGGAUCACCUGAGGUCAGGAGUUCGAGACCAGCCUGGCCAACUUGGUGAAACCCCAUCUCUACUAAAAAUACAAAAAAGUAGCCCGGUGUGGUG
rnacentral:lncRNA from 10 species